UGGCAAGGUACAUAGACACAGACAUAUGCCCCACAGAUUUGUGGCACUACCUAGUGGCUGGGCAUCCCUAAUAAGUCCUCAGAGAAAUACAGAGAGACCAUCUGCAGGAGUCAUUGGUAGGUCCUUUCUGUGCUUGCCAAUGGAAAUCAGGACCUACAAAAGACUUAAUGAAUUAAUCAAGUUAUUUUCAUCAUCAGCGUUUCAGACCAACAUACUAGUGAGAUUCAGUGGCAACCUUUUCCUGGAAGCAAAUCCUAAUCAUGAGCUGACCAACAUCAAUUCUACAAAGACAAUAUGAGAUGAAUUUAUUUUUUGCUAUAGGGCAUCUGAGAAAUGUGUCUUUAGCUGAUUUCAUCAUAAGUCCUCAGAGAACUCACCAAAGUGACUUCUACGUGAGUGAAUCCUAGGAAUUCCAAGACUAGUAAAAUAUCUCACUUCAUCUUAUCUUAAUAAAAGUUGUAAGAGGAGGAGUUGGCUUAAGGACUUAAUAAAGAGAUUUUAAUACAGCUGGUCUAUGAAAACUUUACAUAAGAAGGCUUUGAAGGAAUAAAGAAAUCUCCAUCUCUAACUGCAGAAUUCCUGUGU